UACGGGAGGCAGCAGUGGGGGAAUAUUGCACAAUGGGCGCAAGCCUGAUGCAGCCAUGCCGCGUGUAUGAAGAAGGCCUUCGGGUUGUAAAGUACUUUCAGUCGUGAGGAAGGUGUUAAGGUUAAUAACCUUAGCAAUUGACGUUAGCGACAGAAGAAGCACCGGCUAACUCCGUGCCAGCAGCCGCGGUAAUACGGAGGGUGCGAGCGUUAAUCGGAAUUACUGGGCGUAAAGGGCACGCAGGCGGUUAAUUAAGUUGGAUGUGAAAUCCCCGGGCUUAACCUGGGAAUGGCAUUCAAGACUGGUUAGCUAGAGUCUUGUAGAGGGGGUAGAAUUCCGAUGUGUAGCGGUGAAAUGCGUAGAGAUGUGGAGGAAUACCGGUGGCGAAGGCGGCCCCUGGACAAAGACUGACGCUCAUGUGCGAAAGCGUGGGGAGCAAACGAGGGAUUAGAUACC
rnacentral:rRNA from 1 species